CAACAAGACAUAUGCAUCAAGAUGAAGCCUUCUUCAGCCCAAGCCCAUGGUGAAUGAAACUCCCCUGCAGACUCACAGUGGGGACAUGGCAUGAGAAGAAACAAACUUGCUGGGGUUAAAUCCACCUGUUCCUGACAAGUCACACAUCCUGGCUUUCCAUGGACGCUCCGGGAAGCUCCGACCAAGGGCAGGGAAGGGGGCUGUUGGUGACCACCCCCUAGCCCUGGAGGCGAUGACUCGACACUAACCCAGGCCUAUGAGGUGGGUCUCACCAGCCCCACUUGCAGAUGAAGAAACUCAGGGAAGUUCUCUGAUUCGCUCCCUUCACACCGCGGCAGUGUUGGCCAGGAGAGAACCCACGAUUCCAGACUUAGGUAUUCUUUCCACCGUACACUUUCGUCCCUAAGGGGCGCGGGGUUGGGGGAGGAGAAAAUAACAACCACUAAAAAGGAACCAC